rnacentral:rRNA from 1 species
CAGCACCUCAAGUGGUCAGGAUGAUUAUUGGGCCUAAAGCAUCCGUAGCCGGCGCUGUAAGUUUUCGGUUAAAUCUGUACGCUCAACGUACAGGCUGCCGGGAAUACUGCAGCGCUAGGGAGUGGGAGAGGUAGACGGUACUCGGUAGGAAGGGGUAAAAUCCUUUGAUCUAUUGAUGACCACCUGUGGCGAAGGCGGUCUACGAGAACACGUCCGACGGUGAGGGAUGAAAGCUGGGGGAGCAAACCGGAUUAGAUACCCGAGUAGUCC